UACCAGCUCUCCGAGUAGUGUGGAUGUUUAUUGGGCCUAAAGCAUCCGUAGCUUGCUAAGCAAGUCCCCUGUUAAAUCCACCGAUUUAAUCGUUGGAUUGCGGGGGAUACUGUUUGGCUAGGGGACGGGAGAGGCCGACGGUAUUUCCGGGGUAGGGGUGAAAUCCUAUAAUCCCGGGAAGACCACCAGUGGCGAAGGCUGUCGGCUAGAACGCGCCCGACGGUGAGGGAUGAAAGCGUGGGGGAGCGAACCGGAUUAGAUACCCGGGUAGUCCCAGCUGUAAACGAUGCAGGCUAGGUGUUUGGGCGGCCACGAGCCGCCCUAGUGCCGCAGGGAAGCUGUUAAGCCUGCCGCCGUGGGGAGUACGGCCGCAAGGCUGAAACUUAAAGGAAUUGGCGGGGAGCACCACGAAGGGGUGAAGCUUGCGGUUU
rnacentral:rRNA from 1 species